CACCAUCACCACCGGCACUGCCA
rnacentral:siRNA from 1 species